GACGAACGCUGGCGGCGUGCUUAACACAUGCAAGUCGAGCGGUAAGGCCCUUCGGGGUACGACGAGCGGCGAACGGGUGAGUAACACGUGGGUGACCUGCCCUCAGCUCUGGGAUAAGCCUGGGAAACCGGGUCUAAUACCGGAUAUGACUCCAUGACGCAUGUUGUGGGGUGGAAAGCCUUGUGCGGCUGAGGAUGGGCCCGCGGCCUAUCAGCUUGUUGGUGGGGUGAUGGCCUACCAAGGCGACGACGGGUAGCCGGCCUGAGAGGGCGACCGGCCACACUGGGACUGAGACACGGCCCAGACUCCUACGGGAGGCAGCAGUGGGGAAUCUUGGACAAUGGGCGCAAGCCUGAUCCAGCCAUGCCGCGUGGGUGAAGAAGGCC
rnacentral:rRNA from 1 species